AGAAUAAACGCUGGCGGCGUGCCUAACACAUGCAAGUCGAGCGAAAAAGCUUCUUCGGAAGUUAGUAAAGCGGCGAACGGGUGAGUUACGCGUGAGAAUCUACCUUUUAGUGAAGGAUACCCUUGAGAAAUUGAGGUUAAUACUGCAUAAGUCCCUACGGGGAGAAAGAUGGCCUCUUUGCUGUCGCUAGAAGAUGAGCUUGCGUGCUAUUAGCUAGUUGGUGGGGUAAAGGCCUACCAAGGCGAUGAUGGCUA
rnacentral:rRNA from 1 species